rnacentral:rRNA from 1 species
UAACCCCGGGAAACUGGGGAUAAUACCGGAUGGAUCACUAGUGCUGGAAUGCUUGGUGGUUUAAAGGUAACGCCUUUGGAUGGGYCUGCGGCGGAUUAGGUUGACGCCGGUGUAACGUACCGGCGUGCCUGUAAUCCGUACGGGUUGUGGGAGCAAGAGCCCGGAGAUGGAUUCUGAGACACGAAUCCAGGCCCUACGGGGCGCAGCAGGCGCGAAAACUCUACAAUGCAGGCAACUGCGAUAGGGGGACAUCGAGUGGCAUCCACCUUGGGUGCCUGUCCAACCGUCUAAAAAACGGUUGUUAGCAAGGGCCGGGUAAGACCGGUGCCAGCCGCCGCGGUAAUACCGGCGGCUCGAGUGGUGGCCGAUAUUAUUGAGUCUAAAGGGUCCGUAGCCGGCUUUGCAAGUCCCCUGGGAAAUCCAGCGGCUUAACCGUUGGGCUUUCAUGGGAUACUACAUUGCUUGGGACUGGGAGAGGUAGGAGGUACUCGGGGGGUAGGGGUGAAAUCCUGUAAUCCUCCGGGGACCACCGGUGGCGAAGGCGUCCUACCAGAACAGGUCCGACGGUGAGGGACGAAAGCUAGGGGCACGAACCGGAUUAGAUACCCGGGUAGUCCUAGCCGUAAACGAUGCCCGCUAGGUGUCACGACGGUCGUGAAUCGUCGUGGUGCCGUAGGGAGGCCGCGAAGCGGGCCAMUUGGGAAGUACGGCCGCAAGGCUGAA